rnacentral:rRNA from 1 species
UACGGAGGAUGCAAGCGUUAUCCGGAGUGAUUGGGCGUAAAGGGUCUGUAGGUGGUUGUUCAAGUCUGCUGUUAAAGCGUCUGGCUUAACCAGAUAAAGGCGGUGGAAACUGAACGACUAGAGUGCGGUAGGGGUAGAGGGAAUUCCCAGUGUAGCGGUGAAAUGCGUAGAUCUUGGGAAGAACACCUGUGGCGAAAGCGCUCUACUGGACCGCGACUGACACUGAUGGACGAAAGCUAGGGGAGCGAAUGGG